AGUGAACGCUGGCGGUAGGCCUAACACAUGCAAGUCGAACGGCAGCACAGUAAGAGCUUGCUCUUACGGGUGGCGAGUGGCGGACGGGUGAGGAAUACAUCGGAAUCUACUUUUUCGUGGGGGAUAACGUAGGGAAACUUACGCUAAUACCGCAUACGACCUACGGGUGAAAGCAGGGGAUCUUCGGACCUUGCGCGAUUGAAUGAGCCGAUGUCGGAUUAGCUAGUUGGCGGGGUAAAGGCCCACCAAGGCGACGAUCCGUAGCUGGUCUGAGAGGAUGAUCAGCCACACUGGAACUGAGACACGGUCCAGACUCCUACGGGAGGCAGCAGUGGGGAAUAUUGGACAAAGGGCGCAAGCCUGAUCCAGCCAAACCGCGUGGGUGAAGAAGGCCUUCGGGUUGUAAAGCCCUUUUGUUGGGAAAGAAAAGCAGCAGGUUAAUACCCCGCUGUUCUGACGGUACCCAAAGAAUAAGCACCGGCUAACUUCGUG
rnacentral:rRNA from 1 species